rnacentral:lncRNA from 1 species
UGAGUCAGCUCAUAGGAGGCCACGGAUCCUACAGGAGAGAAAACGGGAGAGAAAAGGCUUGAAACUGAGGAGCUGAACUCCAAGUAGUAUGAUGUCCUGCCCAUGUGGCCAUUCCUUGUCCUGCGUGGAGAUGGCCAGGGACUGACUUACAAUGGCGACUGAGGGAUUAUUCUGAGAUCUAAGGUGACACCGUAAGGCUGGCACACAUGCAGGGACCUGCCAUUGCUUCUGAGUGGUGCUUUCCACAAUCAAACUUCACCCUUGUCAUGUGCACACGGAGUGUUGAAAGACUCAGGAGAUGCUGUCCCUGAUUCCCUGGUCUGCAGACUGCUGGUGCCAAUGGAGGAAAUUUUUCUCUUCUCUUUGUGACUCAUGCCUGCCUCAAUACCAGAUACAGGACCUAGGAACACAAAAUCUGCAAACUGCACUUAACACAAAAGGGAAGGGGCUGAGAUGGGGAGGAACAAUUCCAAGGUCACUUGGCAAGGAGAGAGAAAAGGAAGACGAGAAAUGCUCUGGACCUGUAACAGUAAGUCUUCUGAGUGUCCUGGGACCAGCCUGCCAGGGAGGGCAUGGGAAAAUCCUCAGCCCAAAUUCUCAGCCCAAAUCCCUCCCUAUGGAGACGGCAUCUCAGUCAGCUCUUUUAGCUGCCUGUAGGGGGCGCGCCUGCCACACUCUGGGUUGAAAGGGAGAGAAAAGACGGUUGAUUCCCAGCUCAGGAACCAAGCUGUCUAGAGACAUUUUCUUUUCUUUUUUUUUUUUAAUUUAUUAUUAUUAUACUUUA